AAGCAUUACAUGUUAUUCUUAACACCUGCCACUUCUCUCUUCCCACCUCUAUCUGCCUUAUUGAACUUCAUCUUUCCUUCAUUCUCUUCAACUUCCACUUCUUCUUGUAUGGUCCUGUUGAUGCCAUCUUGUUUCCGUCCCCAGACUCAUCAUCUUUACCCUCUGUCAACUGAGUUCCCACCCUGGUUCUCUCUCAAGAUCUUCCUCUCAUAGCUUUCACCCUUGGUAAACAAUGAGGACACAUCUCAAAAAGAAUGAUGUAAUUUAAUUGCCUUGAGUUGGCUGGGCCAUCAUCUAUUAUAAAGUGCUCUUAAAAUUAAAGCUAAUUUAAUUCUGAAGAACUAAGGAUUAAGAAGUUAAGAGCUGGGGUUCUUACAAUAUGGCUUGCAGACUACAAGUGUGAACUGAGGAGGUCCCCAAAGUCACUUCUUACUAAGGACUCUGGGAGUUGCCUCUUCCUUCUCCAUUUGCACAAACCACGCUUCAGCCUCAAUCAGCCUGAUAAAAUGUUCACCUGCCAUCUCUCUGCUCUGCAACACGCUGGCACUUCACUCAUUUCCUCCAACAAGCUUCUUACCACUUCCCUCUGUGGCUAAUCUCUUCCCACCCUUGGUCAGUCUCAUCAACUCUAUUCCUUUGAAUCCCAAAUACUAAACAGUUCAGAUAGGUGAUGGAUUGAAAAUAAUCCCAAUAUUCCACAAGCAACAUCAACAUCCCCCACACACCCAGCACCGAGGAAUACCCUCCUCUCUAGAAUGUGAGGCCACUGUGUGGAGGAAGACACCACGGUGCUCUACUGAGCCAUGAAAGUCACGCCUGACCUAAACAGAAGACUACGUCCCCUGGCUAAAAGAGGAAAUAGUGGGAACUGGAAAAAAAAGCAAAUGAGCAAGCAGUUUCCAGGGGAAGAAAUGCAGAGGGAUGAUUGUGAGGAAGCCUAGGCCACAUGGAGAGGCCACAUAGAUGUGUUCCAGGCAGCAGCCCCAGCAAAGGUCUCAAUCAACCACCAUAUGUGUGAGUGAAGGAACCUUCAGAUAAUUUUGCUUCCCAGACUUCAAGUCUUUCAGCUGGGGUCCAAGACAUCACAAGGCAGAGACAAGCCCUCCUGGAAUUCCCCACCCACCGUGAGCAUAAGAAAACUGGAAAGCGGUGUAAAUGGCUCUUAUCUGAACCACAAUGAAUUCACAUAUUCAAGUUGGCUUCUUCGGAAAUUUCAGGCCACAAAUGGCAGUGAUGCGACCAGGAGCAGUAACACGGUUACAAGUCGCAAUUUAGGAAGGGUGCUCCAUCAUCAUUUCAUGAUUCUCACUACAGCCCAGACAGGUGGGCAGAGCAGUGUUCUUUCCCCUUUAAUGAAUGAAGAAGCUGAGCCUCAAACAGAUGAGGGGGCUUCCUGGGUUCACAGAGCUCUAAAGGGCUGAGCUGUAGAUCCACGGCCACCAUGAUGAGCUAAGAGUUUCUGGAUUCAGUGCCUGCUGUUGCUCCUGGAGAUUUGUAUCCUGAUUGAAGGCUGGUUCCAUAUCUGUUCACCCAGGCACCUUUAAAAUUAAGUCCUGGGCACAAAUCAUUAGUCUGGCAAGUUACAUCACUGGGCCACUUCCAUCCGGACAGAAGGAACCCAGGUCAAGGCUGACAGGAGGAGCAGGAGCCGUCAAUGAGAGCAGACCUCAGAAGCCAACGGAGGUGAGAAGAGCACCAUCCACAGCCCCAUCCUCUGAAUGCUGUGGGAAGAAGUCCACAAAAUACCACCCCUUGGAGUCAGUCAGUAGUAGAGCCCUUGCUGCUGGCUGCAAAUACCCCAUCAGAACAUGUUUGGGGUGAUUCUUGGACCUGGUUUCAAUUUCUUUUCUGCCAGUCAGCAGUUGUGCUUGACUCACAAUUUGUUGCCAUCUCUUGAAUUAAACUCAGGAAACAGGAUAAAGAUCAGAACCACAUUGUAAAAGCUUCCUUAUGGUUCAUUUUUUGCUGAGAUAAAUAAUGAGCAGCUCUGAUCCAUGUCUCUGGAGAGCUCAGAGCACACUACCAGGAGCUCCUAGCCACAGGGUGAGCACAGGUGGCUGGUGUUCUCUUGAUGAGGAAAGACAGCAGUGUCCAAUCUACCCUGCCUUACACGGAGCCCCAGGUGCUCUCCCGGACUGUGUUGCUACCUAAAGCACAUGGCAAUUGCAUGAUGCUAACCAGAGCAGCCCCUCACUCAUUAGAAACAUCUGCUUUGCAUUAUUUACACAGGCAAAGUUUUCCUUUUUACUGAGCCUACCCAGUUCAAACUUAAGUGGGAUUUGCCAGCUAUCUGGCUAAUUUUAUGAGCAAUAAUAAAGAUUGGUGAACACUUGGU
rnacentral:lncRNA from 1 species